rnacentral:tRNA from 1 species
UAAGAGGUGGUGUUUAAGUAGCAUUAAGAAGUUUGGCUUCUUCGGUAAAAAUUUGGUUUUUCUUCUUAG